GACGAACGCUGGCGGCGUGCUUAACACAUGCAAGUCGAACGGUGAAGCGCUUGCCUUUUUGGUGGGUGUGGAUGAGUGGCGAACGGGUGAGUAACACGUGAGUAACCUGCCCUCUUCUUCUGGAUAACCUCAUGAAAGUGGGGCUAAUACGGGGUAUUCCGGUUCUGUCGCAUGGCGGGUUUGGGAAAGAUUGCGCCUUUGGGUGUUUUCGGUGGGGGAUGGGCUCGCGGCCUAUCAGCUUGUUGGUGGGGUGAUGGCCUACCAAGGCGGUGACGGGUAGCCGGCCUGAGAGGGUGGACGGCCACACUGGGACUGAGACACGGCCCAGACUCCUGCGGGAGGCAGCAGUGGGGAAUAUUGCACAAUGGGCGCAAGCCUGAUGCAGCGACGCCGCGUGAGGGAUGGAGGCCUUCGGGUUGUGAACCUCUUUCGCCAGUGAAGCAGGCCUGCUCCUGUGUGGGUGGGUUGACGGUAGCUGGAUAAGAAGCGCCGGCUAACUACGUG
rnacentral:rRNA from 1 species